AAGGAGCAUCUAGAUUCCGCAAGGAAUCCAGAGCCACUACGUCGGCAAAUGUUCGACGGUGGUUAGCUCAUGGGUGGAACGUUGACUAUUCGGCACGAUUGGUUAGGGACUGUAAGUACUGCUUCGGCGUGGAAAACAGAUUCUUGAUUGGUCGGGUCGGGCACGCUGUUGGGUAUCUGAAGGUAUGGCCGUAAGGCUGCCUUCGCUGCCGACCCCGGUGUACUCACUGGUUUCCAGUGGGGUGACGGGUGGUUGGUCGUUGUUUGAGAACUGCACAGUGGACGCGAGCAUCUGU
rnacentral:misc_RNA from 1 species